GUGGGUGUAGCUCAAUGGUUAGAGCAUCAGGCUGUGGACCUGGGGGUUGAGGGUUCGAGACCCUUCACCCACCCCA
rnacentral:tRNA from 2 species